ACUCAUGAGAUUCUACUGCAUAACCUUUACUGUAUAACUCACUUGUUAACUGUGCACUUUAAAUUUGAUUAUGGUGUAUGACAUUUGAGUUCUUGCAAGUAGUAUAUACUGUUGACUUUGUAUGUGAUCUGCAUGCACUAUUUUUAAUCAAAUUGUGUUUUCAUUAUGUCAACUAAAGUUGAAUUGGAGAUUUUUAAUGGUAAAGGAGACUUUAGUCUCUGGCGCCAGAAAAUGCGAG
rnacentral:lncRNA from 1 species